rnacentral:piRNA from 1 species
UAAGGAGGCGGUGUCUGAUUUAUGUAGGGC